rnacentral:rRNA from 1 species
AGAACGAACGCUGGCGGCAGGCCUAACACAUGCAAGUCGAACGCUCUCGCAAGAGAGAGUGGCGCACGGGUGCGUAACGCGUGGGAAUGUACCUCUAGGUACGGAACAACCCAGGGAAACUUGGGCUAAUACCGUAUAAUAUCUUCGGAUCAAAGAUUUAUCGCCUAGAGAUCAGCCCGCGUAGGAUUAGCUAGUUGGUGAGGUAAUGGCUCACCAAGGCUACGAUCCUUAGCUGGUCUGAGAGGAUGAUCAGCCACACUGGAACUGAGACACGGUCCAGACUCCUACGGGAGGCAGCAGUGAGGAAUAUUGGACAAUGGGGGCAACCCUGAUCCAGCCAUGCCGCGUGAGUGAUGAAGGCCUUCGGGUUGUAAAACUCUUUAGGUGUGACGAUGAUGACGGUAACACCAGAAAAGCUCCGGCUAACUCGCGCCAGCAGCCGC